rnacentral:rRNA from 1 species
AUAAGUCAGUGGUGAAAUACUGCAGCUUAACUGUAGAACUGCCAUUGAUACUGUUGUUCUUGAGUGCGAUUGAGGUAGGCGGAAUGUGUAAUGUAGCGGUGAAAUGCUUAGAUAUUACACAGAACACCGAUUGCGUAGGCAGCUUACUAAGUCGUAACUGACGCUGAGGCACGAAAGCGUGGGGAUCGAACAGGAUUAGAUACCCUGGUA